AAUUAAUGAACUUGAAUAAGUAUAUAUUUUGAAAAUAUAACAUAGGGUAACCCCCCCCUAUUAAUUU
rnacentral:tRNA from 1 species